GGCAGCUGGAAAGCAGGAGUGGUCCUGCAUGAGGUGAUUGCUCACCGAGUAUUACAGAGGAGAUCUGGGUCACGGAUGAGCAGAAUUCCCUUCUCAGAGGUGGCACUUGAGGGCUGGACUGUGAGAUAAUCACUUUCUUCUGCCAUCCUCCUCCUUAUUCAGUACAUCCUACAGCAGACAAAAUCCUGGAACGUCAUUCUCUCCAAUGGGAGUGAGGAGGCACAAGUGCCUCCUUCCGCACCAGGCGGGCUCUGGGGUUGUGCUGGCAGUUGAGGGAGCCUCGCGUGCAGGGAAAGACGAAUCAAUUACUGCCUGUGCCUUGCGGUGGGCUGUCCCCAGUGAAAUAAUCUAAACCUGUCAGAUUGUGACAGCUUGCUCUACCUGCACAAAUAACACUGUUUUAAGAAAUCAAGGACUGCUGAUAUUGCUGUAAUAGAUCUAAAAGCGCAUACUGAUGUGAUCUCCCAUCUCCUGCAAGAUGGCAUUUGAAGCUGCUGGCGUGCUGAAUAUUUCUGCAGUAUCAGCCUAUCAUCUGAGAAACGUGGAUCAGAUUUUUUGAAAGAGUUCAGCAUCGAACAAAUCUCCCUCUUGUCUGGCUCUGAUAUUUCAGAUCCUCAUACAUGAAAACCAGUAAAAAAAAAAAUAAAAACAACCAACCUUCCCUACUUUAAAAGCCACAGCAGGCUUAAACAGCUGCCUGGAGAACAUCCUUGUGUAUCCAAAACCUAUAUUGUACUGAAAUGUUAUGUCCACAUACUCUGUUACAGCAUGUACAAGUCUAUUGGAGCACUUCUCAGGUUUCAGAGUCCCAGAGAGGUUCCCAGAGCACUCAGCCAUGUCCUUUCUGUUGGACUAGAGCUUGCAAAUUGGUUUGUUUUUUCAGUGUUUUUGAAAAAGUAAAAACUGAAGAUAAAAAACUCAAUUUGGAUCAAAGCAAGGCAGCUAUCGUUGGUAUUUUUUAGUUUUGCAAUGAAUGGAGAAGCUGUGUUUGGAAAAUGUUUGCUCUGAUUAACCUGAAACAAUUUGUUAAAGGCAAGUGAGAUACUUGAAUUGCGUGGGUGUUUGGUUUAGUUUUGUUUAACAAUUAAAAAGCCAUUUAAAGUAGAAAAUGCUACAUAAAAAUGAAAAGCUGAAGAAUCUAAC